GCCGCGGUGGCGGAAUUGGCAUUACGCGCAGCACUUAAAAUGCUGUGGAGGAAUACUCCAUGUGGGUUCGAGUCCCACCCGCGGCA
rnacentral:tRNA from 1 species